GGGGAAUAUUGCACAAUGGGCGAAAGCCUGAUGCAGCGACGCCGCGUGCGGGAUGACGGCCUUCGGGUUGUAAACCGCUUUCGGCAGGGAAGAAGCAGUAAGGUGACGGUACCUGCAGAAGAAGCGCCGGCUAACUACGUGCCAGCAGCCGCGGUAAUACGUAGGGCGCAAGCGUUGUCCGGAAUUAUUGGGCGUAAAGAGCUCGUAGGCGGUUCGUCGCGUCUGCUGUGAAAUCCUCAGGCUCAACCUGUGGCGUGCAGUGGGUACGGGCGGACUGGAGUGCGGUAGGGGUGACUGGAAUUCCUGGUGUAGCGGUGGAAUGCGCAGAUAUCAGGAGGAACACCGAUGGCGAAGUCAGGUCACUGGGCCGCAACUGACGCUGAGGAGCGAAAGCAUGGGGAGCGAACA
rnacentral:rRNA from 1 species